GUGAUCAUCCUGACCUUUACUGGAGCUAUACCAUCAGUAGCAUCUUUAACUUUUAAGUUAAAAUUUUCAAGGAGUACAUCAACAGAGCCUGCUAUAUGUUUGGCAACAUUGAUAUAUAACCAAUUGUAAAGAUGGAAUUCCUCCUCAGCUGGACUGCAAAAGCAUCCAACUAGAACUGACAAAAGUAAAGAAAUACACCAUAAGGAAAGAGAUGACCCUGAGAAAACUUUUCUGAAAAGUCCCAAAUU